rnacentral:rRNA from 1 species
UACGUAGGGGGCAAGCGUUGUCCGGAAUUACUGGGCGUAAAGCGCGUGUAGGCUGCUCUGCAAGUCGGAUGUGAAAGCCCUGGGCUCAACCUAGGAAGUGCACUCGAAACUGCAGAGCUUGAGUCUCGGAGAGGAUCGCGGAAUUCUCGGUGUAGAGGUGAAAUUCGUAGAUAUCGAGAGGAACACCGGUGGCGAAGGCGGCGAUCUGGACGAUAACUGACGCUGAGACGCGAAAGCGUGGGGAGCAAACAGG